UACGUAGGCAGCGAGCGUUGUUCGGAGUUACUGGGCGUAAAGGGCGCGUAGGCGGUUCGUACAGUCAGACGUGAAAUUCCUGGGCUCAACCUGGGGGCUGCGUUUGAUACGUGCGGACUUGAGUGCGGAAGAGGGUCGUGGAAUUCCCAGUGUAGAGGUGAAAUUCGUAGAUAUUGGGAAGAACACCGGUGGCGAAGGCGGCGACCUGGUCCGAUACUGACGCUGAGGCGCGAAAGCGUGGGGAGCAAACAGG
rnacentral:rRNA from 1 species